UAGAGUUUGAUCCUGGCUCAGGAUGAACGCUGGCGGUCUGCUUAACACAUGCAAGUCGAACGGGCUCUUCGGAGCUAGUGGCGGACGGGUGAGUAACGCGUGAGAAUCUGCCUUCAGGAGGGGGAUAACGACUGGAAACGGUCGCUAAUACCCCAUAUGCCUCCGGGUGAAAAGUAAUUCGCCUGAAGAUGAGCUCGCGUCAGAUUAGCUAGUUGGUGGGGUAAGAGCCUACCAAGGCGACGAUCUGUAGCUGGUCUGAGAGGAUGAUCAGCCACACUGGGACUGAGACACGGCCCAGACUCCUACGGGAGGCAGCAGUGGGGAAUUUUCCGCAAUGGGCGCAAGCCUGACGGAGCAAGACCGCGUGGGGGAUGACGGCCUAAUGGUUGUAAACCCCUUUUCUCUGGGAAGAAGACUGACGGUACCAGAGGAAUCAGCCUCGGCUAACUCCGUGCCAGCAGCCGCGGUAAUACGGAGGAGGCAAGCGUUAUCCGGAAUUAUUGGGCGUAAAGCGUCCGUAGGUGGUUAUUCAAGUCUGCUGUCAAAGCGUGGGGCUUAACUCCAUAGAGGCAGUGGAAACUGAGUGACUAGAGUGCGGUAGGGGUCGAGGGAAUUCCUCAGUGUAGCGGUGAAAUGCGUAGAUAUUGGGGAGACACCAGUGGCGAAAGCGCUCGACUGGGCCUGCACUGACACUGAGGGACGAAAGCUAGGGAGCGAAAGGGAUAGAUACCCCUGUAGUCCUAGCCGUAAACG
rnacentral:rRNA from 1 species